rnacentral:rRNA from 1 species
AUCGAUGAAGAACGCAGCGAAAUGCGAUAAGUAAUGUGAAUUGCAGAAUUCAGUGAAUCAUCGAAUCUUUGAACGCACAUUGCGCCCUUUGGCAUUCCAUAGGGCAUGCCUGUUCGAGCGUCACUAACAACCCCAUCACAAACGGUGUGGUAUUGGCAGAAGUGGGUAGGGCUGGCAGUGUCGGCCCCACUCUGCUGGAAUGAAUAGGCCGGAAAUGUAGACCAUGAUAACAGACUUUCAGAGUAUCCCCCUGAUGCUAAAUUAGUUUGUAGGCUGGUCAGAAUCCAGGCUGAUGGGCCCCCAUUCUGUGUAAAGCAGUAAUGUUGACCUCGGAUCAGGUAGGGAUACCCGCUGAACUUAAGCAUAUCAAUAAGCGGAG